AUGGAUCAGGAGCUGAUCGAGCACCUUGAGGCCAAAGUGAGUGCUGACAACGCGAGAUCUCACCCUCUCAUCGAUUUGUUCAUACCAACCAUCGAUAGUGAGCAUGGCAUAUGCUACACCCAACCUGAGAAACUUCCAGAUGCAGACCCAGUGAAGCAGUUACAAGUUGACAGUUAA
rnacentral:rRNA from 1 species